UACGGAGGGGGCUAGCGUUGUUCGGAAUUACUGGGCGUAAAGCGCACGUAGGCGGCUUUGUAAGUUAGAGGUGAAAGCCUGGAGCUCAACUUCAGAAUUGCCUUUAAGACUGCAUCGCUUGAAUCCGGGAGAGGUGAGUGGAAUUCCGAGUGUAGAGGUGAAAUUCGUAGAUAUUCGGAAGAACACCAGUGGCGAAGGCGGCUCACUGGACCGGCAUUGACGCUGAGGUGCGAAAGCGUGGGGAGCAAACAGG
rnacentral:rRNA from 1 species